rnacentral:rRNA from 1 species
GACGAACGCUGGCGGCGUGCCUAAUACAUGCAAGUAGAACGCUGAAGGAGGAGCUUGCUUCUCUGGAUGAGUUGCGAACGGGUGAGUAACGCGUAGGUAACCUGCCUGGUAGCGGGGGGGACCAUUUGGAAGGGAAACUUAUUCCCCCAUAGAAUACGAUUUUCCUGAAAAUUUCCUAAAAAGUGGCAUUUCAUUCGUUACAAUGGGACCCUGGGUGGUUUGGGUAGUUGGGGGGGAAACGGCCUACCAAGGGGAAGAUACAUAACCGACCUGGGAGGGGGAUCGGCCACACUGGGAACUAGACACGGCCCAGGACCCUACGGGAGGGAGCAGUAGGGAAACUUCGGCAAAGGAGGGAAGUCUGACCGAGCAACGCCGCGUGAGGGAAGAAGGGUUUCGGAUCGUAAAGGUCUGUUGUAAGGGAAGAACGAGUGUGAGAGUGGAAAGUUCACACUGUGACGGUACCUUACGAGAAAGGGACGGCUAACUACGUG